GACGAACGCUGGCGGCGUGCUUAACACAUGCAAGUCGAGCGGUAAGGCCCUUUCGGGGGUACACGAGCGGCGAACGGGUGAGUAACACGUGGGUGACCUGCCCUCAGCUCUGGGAUAAGCCCGGGAAACUGGGUCUAAUACCGGAUAUGACUCCAUGACGCAUGUUGUGGGGUGGAAAGCCUUGUGCGGCUGAGGAUGGGCCCGCGGCCUAUCAGCUUGUUGGUGGGGUGAUGGCCACCAAGGCGACGACGGGUAGCCGGCCUGAGAGGGCGACCGGCCACACUGGGACUGAGAUACGGCCCAGACUCCUACGGGAGGCAGCAGUGGGGAAUCUUGCGCAAUGGGCGAAAGCCUGACGCAGCGACGCCGCGUGAGGGAUGACGGCCUG
rnacentral:rRNA from 1 species